UAACCGCAGGGAACUGCUGCUGCUGAUAUACUGUAUAGAUUAUAUCGAUUCCAUAUCACAGUGGCUGUUCUUUUUGGUUGC
rnacentral:pre_miRNA from 11 species